CGGGCCUAACACAUGCAAGUCGAGCGGUAACAUUUCUAGCUUGCUAGAAGAUGACGAGCGGCGGACGGGUGAGUAACGCGUAGAAAUCUACCUAGUAGUGGGGGAUAGCCCAGAGAAAUUUGGAUUAAUACCGCAUACGCCCUACGGGGGAAAGCGGGGGAUCUUCGGACCUCGUGCUAUUAGAUGAGUCUGCGUCGGAUUAGCUUGUUGGUGAGGUAAUGGCUCACCAAGGCGACGAUCCGUAGCUGGUCUGAGAGGAUGACCAGCCACACUGGAACUGAGACACGGUCCAGACUCCUACGGGAGGCAGCAGUGGGGAAUAUUGCACAAUGGGCGCAAGCCUGAUGCAGCCAUGCCGCGUGUGUGAAGAAGGCCUUAGGGUUGUAAAGCACUUUCAGCAGUGAGGAAAGGGGUGUCGUUAAUAGCGCCAUCCUGUGACGUUAACUGCAGAAGAAGGACCGGCUAACUCCGUG
rnacentral:rRNA from 1 species